rfam:Penicillium arizonense strain CBS 141311 PENARI_contig002, whole genome shotgun sequence.
GACAGUUUGGCCGAGUGGUUAAGGCGCUCGCCUGCUAAGCGAGUGGGUUCGCCCGCGUGUGUUCGAAUCACAUAGCUGUCG